rnacentral:rRNA from 1 species
UACGUAGGGGGCAAGCGUUGUCCGGAAUCAUUGGGCGUAAAGCGCGUGUAGGCGGCUUCGUAAGUCCGUUGUGAAAGUCCAGGGCUCAACCCUGGAAUGCCGAUGGAUACUGCGGAGCUAGAGUCCGGAAGAGGCGAGUGGAAUUCCUGGUGUAGCGGUGAAAUGCGCAGAUAUCAGGAGGAACACCAAUGGCGAAGGCAGCUCGCUGGGACGGUAGCUGACGCUGAGACGCGAAAGCGUGGGGAGCAAACAGG